UACGUAGGGCGCAAGCGUUGUCCGGAAUUAUUGGGCGUAAAGAGCUCGUAGGCGGUUUGUCGCGUCUGCUGUGAAAACCUGAGGCUCAACCUCGGGCUUGCAGUGGAUACGGGCAGACUAGAGUGCGGUAGGGGAGACUGGAAUUCCUGGUGUAGCGGUGGAAUGCGCAGAUAUCAGGAGGAACACCGAUGGCGAAGGCAGGUCUCUGGGCCGUAACUGACGCUGAGGAGCGAAAGCAUGGGGAGCGAACAGG
rnacentral:rRNA from 1 species